rnacentral:misc_RNA from 1 species
AACGCACAUUGCGCCUCCUGGUAUUCCGGGAGGCAUGCCUGUUCGAGCGUCAUUAAAAUCAACUCAAGCUCUUUUGCUUGGUCAUGGAAGAAGAGUCUGCAUCGCGGUCUCCCCUCCGAAAUCCAAUGGCGGAAGGUCACUGGUACCCGGCGUAGUAUUAACGUUCGCUGUGUAUCCAGAGCCAUUCCCGCCCAACAACCCCCUUUCUCGUGAUUGACCUCGGAUCAGGUAGGGAUACCCGCUGAACUUAA